CACAUCCUCCCACGCGCAUCAAAGCCUCACGCUGAAAACAGAAAACCCUCACCCACCGAAACCUAAACUAGCAAUCUGACCUCCUAACUCGCGAUCUCGCCGAAACCACCAACCCUAAGCUCCACCUUCGUCUCCGUCAACUUCUCGAUCCCAACACGAGCGCAGGAGGAGGAGAACCAAUGUUUCCAUCCCCCUUCCUCAUUCGUCUCCUUCCUUGCCCGUCUUUGGGUACAAGUAAGCAAUUGAGCACAAGCUGCCUCCUUGGUAGGUUUCAGGAUCAGCUCCCCCUUUGGGCGUGCAUGUUUUUUUUAGGGCAAGAGGGAGGUGUACAUGAGAGUAGAAGAUUAUGGAGUUCUGGACGGAGUUCUUGGCGAAUAGUUUGGGGGGCAUCAAUGACAUGGUCGGGGUCCCCUUCAACUAUCCACUCGACACGCUCCGUAUCUGCCUACAACAGCCACCGCCGACUCCUACUUCCUAGAAUUCCUUCGCCCUUGCCCGAUGAUCCCUCUCGGUCGUCGACCUCCUUCGUAGCCUCGUCGCUCGGGAGGGCCUCACCAUGCUCUACCACGACAUGGUUGUAAUGCUCACCUCCGUUAGCUUUCAGGUACCCGUCCUCCCCUUUCUUUGAUUAGCUUCAAGGGAACUAGAUCGAAUGAAGCUCAAAUCCAAGUAAGCAGUCCCUUCUCUUAGCUUAUCAAAUCAUUGAAAGCCAUGGAAGAAUAGUGAGGAAGAAAAUCGAUGAGGAGCUCAAGAAGUUUGAUGAAAAGUGAGAUUAUUUUCUUUCUUAUUACUCUUUACUCUUUAAUAUUUGAUUUUUCUUCUUCUAGUGUUUUUCUACUAAUUGUACCUUGAUGGGAUUUUUUUUAGAUGUUUUAACUUUAUCCUUGAGUGAUAUGUUAUAUGAUUUGGGGAACAAUGACCAGAUCUAUAUUAGUUUGAUGAUAUUUAGUGUCAGAAAAUAAGUAGAAGAAUUUUUAACUCAAGCAAGAGAAGCUAAAAUCAUAGUUUGCAGACAAACAUGAAUGAGAUUAAAUGUAGCCAGCCGUUUCUAGCAGUAAAAUAUCAUUUCAUCUCAUCCAAUUUCUGUCUAACCAUUCUUUAUGGCUUGACUAAUGUUACAUACCUCUUGAGAUGUUUAUCUAGAUUUUUUUACUAUUAAUACUGAAAUAUAAAUAUUUGAGACAUUAUUUUCUAUUUGAGUUUUAUUACUUGAAAAAGAAAGCUAAGAGAAAUUGAAAAAUAUAUGGUGCAUCAAGAAAAUAUCAAAUAUCAUUUAUUCCUUCAUUUAAUUAUAUGCAAUGUUAUGUCAUCACUAAUAUUCAAAUUAAUAAAAUAAAUUUUAUUAAAUUGUCUAGUAUUUUAUUAGCUCGGGUGGUCCAUGAGCGGUUUGCGUUUGCCAAAAGGGUUCUGGGAAUUAAGAGGAAGAUGUUUGCUAAGAAGUGUUAUGUCGAGAAGGCUUUGAUGAAGAAGACAUAAGCUUCCUAUACAUCUCUCUAGUUUCUGAGUUCUUACUGAUGUAUCCAUGUUGUUAUUGUCUUUCCCAUUUUUAAUCAGUUCAUAAUCGUGUGGUGCGGUCGAAAUAAUAGGCCAAUUUUAGUGGUUAGCAACAAUGAAGUUUUUUAUUU